GAUCACGUUUUUUGUAGAAAUUAAGCAGGAAUAGUCAGCAUGGCCAUCUAACAAUAGGGCUACUUGUUCACAUCCAAGGAACUGCUGGCUUGACUCUGUCCUGUUCCCUUCCAGGCACAACAUCAUGGUGAAUUUCUACGGAGGCAAUCAUUGUAACCCCUGGGAGAGAAAGAAGAAAUAAUGGUUAAUCCACUACUGCACAGAGUCUGAAAUGCAGGUGUACAGCAGUGCUGAUAAAAGACCAAAACAGCAUCCUGUCAGAAGGCCAAGAGUUCUAGGAAUUCACCUCUCCAGUUCCUAGAUGGAGAUGUCUGCUUUGUCAGUCAGUAAAGGAAAAAGAAAAGUAAGUAACUGCAGCCUCAAAUGGAAAAGUGCUGUUUGAUGUUGUCACUUCUACUUCCUAGAGGACAGUAUCAACAACUUCAUGAUCUGUUACAGAAGCAGCUCU
rnacentral:lncRNA from 1 species